rnacentral:lncRNA from 1 species
AAAACUUUAAACCCCCUAGAAAGACCAUUUUACCCCUAUGUUCAAACACUUCACCCUUCCUUCUGUCCCCUUCCUCUUACUUGUGCCCUCCUUCUCCUCAUCCCCUGUUAAAUGCACCAUGAAAACACAAUUUUUGUUGAGAUCUUUGUUGAGAUACACAUCGGAAUCACAUUUUCAUUUUGUAUUGUUUAAAAAAAAAAAUACACAACAGAAAUAUGAUUAUGUUGUAAUCUUUGUUAAGGGACAUGGUAGAAUUGUAUUUUCAUGAUGUAUUUUUAAUGUUUUUUAAUAAAAAAAACACAAUAUAAUAAUAUUUUCAUUGUAUUUUCUUAUGAUUUUUUUUAUUAAUUAUAAGUGCAAGUUACCUUUUUUUAAGUAAUCAAAUUAAUUGUGAUAUAAUUUAUCCUUUUUAAUGGUACUCAAUAUCUUUAUUAAUUAAAAUUAAAUUAAUUGGAUACAAGUUACCAUUUAUAAAGGUAAUCAAAUUAAUUAUUAUAAGAAUUACCUUUAUUAGUCGUAAUCAAAUCAAUUCAUGAUAUUAUUUUGAUUAUAAUUAAAAAGAAUAAUUUAUGUCAUCAUUAAUUUAAAUUUAAAUAAAAAAGAUAAUUUACGUAACAAUUAAUUUGAUUAUUGAAUGUGUGUUGUCAUUAAUAUAAUCAUAUCAAAAUUAAUUCAAGUAAAAAAUGUAACUUAAUUUUGUGAUUAAUUUUUUGUGAAAAACACUUAAAAAAACAUGUUUGUUUUUGUUGUAUAAAAAGGGGUAAUAAAAAAUUACACAAUGGAGACAUAUUUUUACUUUGAAAUUUAUUCGCACCCCUAAACUACAAUGAAAAUACCUUUUUGUUGUGAAUUUUGUACAUGGUUAUAGAAUGGAAUCAUGAUUAUGUGGGAAAGGUAUUUCUCGAAUAAAAAAAUAUCAACUCAUUGGUAGGGGCAAGAAUAAUUUGCAUGAGACCAAUAAUAACAAGUUACACCUAAUAUUAAUAUAGGUGGGCAACUAUAGGCCUUAACAAGUAAGCCUGUGUUGAGAGGUAUCUAAAUUUAAUACUCUUUAUGUCCCUAAUUUUAAGAUCUUUUUAAAUGUAUGUCUCUUAAAAAAAUAAUUAAUUUAAUUAAUUAUAUUAAAUUUGUUUAUUAAUUGUACUAUUGUUCUAAAAUUAACUUUUUCUUAUAUCUUUAAUCACUUAAUUAUUUUUAAUGUUUGGAGAUAGAAUAAUUAAGAAAGGUUAUACACACAAAAAGUAAUUAAUGCAUCUAAAAAUUAGAAAAAAAAUCUUAUAAUAAAAAGCAAAUAAAUUUUUAAAAAUAAUCUAAUAAUUAGAUACAAAGAAAGUAUAUACUUAUGAUUAGAUAUUUUUUGUCGUUAUUAAAAUGCUAGUGACGGUCUUUCUUUCUCUAUUAUUAAUCUAAUCAUUAUUAUUAUUCUUCGUUAAAAUUACAUAGAUAAACUAUUUCAGCCCUUACAAACACUGAAUAAAACACACAAAUAUAGUUAAUGAAUGACACAUAAAUGGUCAAACUUAAGUAUAACGUAAGGAAUAUUCUCAAAAACAUAUGAAAAUGUUUGCACUAUCAAUUGUCAUUGAGUCAUUUGAUAGUGUCUUUCAUAUAAACAAACCCUGUCAUUUUAUGCGGUGUGUUUACCUUGUAUUGCCAUAUUGGCUUAUUAUUAUAUACUCUUCUAAAUUUUUUUCCUUCUUCUUCUAAAAAAAACAAAAAAAAAAUUGAGUUAAUUUGUAUCCGUGCGAUAGAGGAAGUAUACCUUCAUUCAUCCGUAGCUUGACCCUGAAGAACGAAGGGGUCCAUCCCAAUUCUCAACCCAAACCAAAACGACCGUCGUUUUUGUCUUUUGGUUCAACCCAGCUGCGAUCAUAACAAACACCGGUG